CCCCUCUCAGGAUAGCACCUGGAGAGUCUCCAGUACUCUUCCAGUCUCGGCUAGGGGAGGAAGAGUUGAGCAGAGACAUACUCAUUCUAUUCCUAGCUUGGGCAGUGGCUAGCGAGAGGAAGGUAAUCUGUUACAAGC